AGAGUUUGAUCCUGGCUCAGAAUCAACGCUGGCGGCGUGCCUAACACAUGCAAGUCGAACGAGAAAGUGGAGCAAUCCAUGAGUAAAGUGGCGCACGGGUGAGUAACACGUGACUAACCUACCCUUGAGUGGGGGAUAACCUAGGGAAACCUGGGCUAAUACCGCAUAAUACCGAGAGGUCAAAGGAGCAAUUCGCUUAAGGAGGGGGUCGCGGCCGAUUAGUUAGUUGGCGGGGUAAUGGCCCACCAAGACUGUGAUCGGUAUCCGGCCUGAGAGGGCGCACGGACACACUGGAACUGAAACACGGUCCAGACUCCUACGGGAGGCAGCAGUGGGGAAUUUUGCGCAAUGGGGGAAACCCUGACGCAGCAACGCCGCGUGGAGGAUGAAGCCCCUUGGGGCGUAAACUCCU
rnacentral:rRNA from 1 species